UACGUAGGGUGCGAGCGUUGUCCGGAAUUACUGGGCGUAAAGAGCUCGUAGGUGGUUUGUCGCGUUGUCCGUGAAAACUCACAGCUCAACUGUGGGCGUGCGGGCGAUACGGGCAGACUGGAGUACUGCAGGGGAGACUGGAAUUCCAGGUGUAGCGGUGAAAUGCGUAGAUAUCUGGAGGAACACCGGUGGCGAAGGCGGCAUCCUGGACCGAUAUUGACGCUGAUGCGCGAAAGCCAGGGGAGCAAACGGG
rnacentral:rRNA from 1 species